UACGAAGGGGGCUAGCGUUGCUCGGAAUCACUGGGCGUAAAGGGUGCGUAGGCGGAUUAUUAAGUCAGGGGUGAAAUCCUGGAGCUCAACUCCAGAACUGCCUUUGAUACUGGCGAUCUCGAGUCCGGGAGAGGUGAGUGGAACUGCGAGUGUAGAGGUGAAAUUCGUAGAUAUUCGCAAGAACACCAGUGGCGAAGGCGGCUCACUGGCCCGGUACUGACGCUGAGGUGCGAAAGCGUGGGGAGCAAACAGG
rnacentral:rRNA from 1 species